UCUUCCGCAAUGGACGAAAGUCUGCCGGAGCAACGCCGCGUGAGUGAUGAAGGUCUUCGGUUCGUAAAACUCUGUUGUUAGGGAAGAANNAGUACCGUUCGAAAAGGGCGGCACCUUGACGGUACCUAACCAGAAAGCCACGGCUAACUACGUGCCACCAGCCGCGGUAAUACGUAGGUGGCAAGCGUUGUCCGGAAUUAUUGGGCGUAAAGGGCGCGCAGGCGGUUUCUUAAGUCUGAUGUGAAAGCCCCCGGCUCAACCGGGGAGGGUCAUUGGAAACUGGGGAACUUGAGUGCAGAAGAGGAGAGUGGAAUUCCACGUGUAGCGGUGAAAUGCGUGGAGAUGUGGAGGAACACCAGUGGCGAAGGCGACUCUCUGGUCUGUAACUGACGCUGAGGCGCGAAAGCGUGGGGAGCGAACAG
rnacentral:rRNA from 1 species